AUGCAUGCCCUCGAUCGGUCUCUACACGGUGCAUCCCUGAGGAAAUUUCCAUUAAACUCGCCGGUCGGUCGUGUAUAUUUAUGCGACGCUGAAGGAUCCUGCGGCGUUCUCGACGAACUUCUUGGCGCCCUUGAACCACCUCUUGUCUCCGGCUUGCGCCUUGCAGACGUAGAGCUUGCCGAAGCCGACCUGGGAGAGGAACUCCUCAGGGGAACCGUAGUCGGUGAUGGUCUUCUUGGUAGUGGGGUUGAUUAUAACGGAGAGGUUGCUGGUGGCGUCGAAGUUGUCCUCGUAGCGGAGCACCUGCCCAGGGAACUCACGCUCCUUGCUGGGGUUCCACUUGGCCGGGAUCAUCAGUUUGAACCCCUCGCCGCUGUACGCCACGAAGUCCGUGUUCUUCUUCGCCUUGCCGAACACGUUGGCUGCAACGUCAUUCUUCUGCGCCUUGCAGACGAAAAGCUGGGUGCGCCCGACGGCGGGCGCAGGGCGCGCCGAGGCGGCCAGGCGCGCGGUGGACUGGUGGAGGAAGCAGGAGGUGGACGCCAUUGCUCGCUGCUGUUUAGCUUAGCUUAG
rnacentral:rRNA from 1 species